rnacentral:lncRNA from 1 species
GGUAGUCGCGCCCUUGAAGCACCUAAGCACAUAGAAAAUCAACGGCAGUCAACAGACUUCAUCUCAACUGAGUGUGCCGGUCCCAGUUUCUCCAGUGGAGUCGAUAUGUGUGAGUUGAGUCUAGCAGGGGCAGGGGAGUGAGAAUAGUCGACAGUUGAAUAGCUUGGCCAGAGAAAGAGGGAAUGAAUGAUCGGUCUCGUUCUGGAUCUCUUUCCUUGCGCCCUAGUCCAUUCCAUCUAUCUUGACUGCAACUUGGAUUCUUUCUUGACUGCUAUUUGGAUUGGUAGUCCGUCAAAUCUCUAAGCAGGUGGCUAGAAAACCUUCCGGAAUAGGAGGAAUAUCUGAUAGUUUCUCAUCAGGAAUGGAAUUC